GUGCGUGCGUGUGUGCAUGCGUGUGUGUAUGCGUGUGUGUGCGUUUGUUCAGUUUCCUGUUGCUUUCAGUCUUUGUGCUAAGCUAGGCUACACAUGUCCUGCACCUUUCUGGAGAUGAUCCAGAGACACAGACAACAACAAGGUUUACUGAAAUGUUGGACCGUAGUACCAUCAACAAAAGAGA